rnacentral:rRNA from 1 species
CCUACGGGAGGCAGCAGUGAGGAAUAUUGGUCAAUGGCCGGAAGGCUGAACCAGCCAAGUCGCGUGAGGGAAUAAGGCCCUAUGGGUCGUAAACCUCUUUUGUCAGGGAGCAAAGGCGUCCACGAGUGGACGAAAGGAGAGUACCUGACGAAAAAGCAUCGGCUAACUCCGUGCCAGCAGCCGCGGUAAUACGGAGGAUGAGAGCGUAAUCCGGAUUGAUUGGGUUUAAAGGGAGCGUAGGCGGAGUGUCAGUUCAGCGGUAAAAUUUCGGGGCUAAACCCCGUCGUGCCGUUGAAACUGACACCCUUGAGUGAGUGAGAGGUAAGCGGAAUGCGUGGUGUAGCGGUGAAAUGCAUAGAUAUCACGCAGAACGCCGAUGGCGAAGGCAGCUUACCGGCGCUCAACUGACGCUGAGGCACGAAAGUGCGGGGAUCGAACAGGAUUAGAUACCCGGGUAGUC